AUUGAACGCUGGCGGCAUGCCUUACACAUGCAAGUCGAACGGCAGCACGGGAGCAAUCCUGGUGGCGAGUGGCGAACGGGUGAGUAAAGUAUCGGAACGUGCCCAGUCGUGGGGGAUAACGUAGCGAAAGCUACGCUAAUACCGCAUACGAUCUAUGGAUGAAAGCGGGGGAUCGCAAGACCUCGCGCGAUUGGAGCGGCCGAUAUCAGAUUAGGUAGUUGGUGGGGUAAAGGCCCACCAAGCCGACGAUCUGUAGCUGGUCUGAGAGGACGACCAGCCACACUGGGACUGAGACACGGCCCAGACUCCUACGGGAGGCAGCAGUGGGGAAUUUUGGACAAUGGGCGCAAGCCUGAUCCAGCAAUGCCGCGUGCAGGAUGAAGGCCUUCGGGUUGUAAACUGCUUUUGUACGGAGCGAAAAGGCUCUCUCUAAUACAGGGGGCUCAUGACGGUACCGUAAGAAUAAGCACCGGCUAACUACGUGCCAGCCGCCGCUGUAA
rnacentral:rRNA from 1 species